rnacentral:rRNA from 1 species
UACGAAGGGGGCUAGCGUUGCUCGGAAUCACUGGGCGUAAAGGGUGCGUAGGCGGUUUGGUAAGUCUGAUGUGAAAUCUAUGGGCUCAACUCCAUAGUCUGCAUCGGAAACUGCCGGGGCUUGAGUGUGGGAGAGGUGGAGUGGAAUUCUUGGUGUAGCGGUGGAAAUGCGUAGAUAUCGAGAGGAACACCAGUGGCGAAGGCGAGUCCCUGGACAGGUCCUGACGCUGAGGCACGAAAGCUAGGGGGAGCAAACAGG